UGGGGAAUAUUGCGCAAUGGGGGAAACCCUGACGCAGCGACGCCGCGUGCGGGAUGAAGGCCUUCGGGUUGUAAACCGCUUUUGAUUGGGAGCAAGCCUUUUGGGUGAGUGUACCUUUCGAAUAAGCGCCGGCUAACUACGUGCCAGCAGCCGCGGUAAUACGUAGGGCGCAAGCGUUAUCCGGAAUUAUUGGGCGUAAAGAGCUUGUAGGCGGUUCGUCGCGUCUGGUGUGAAAGCCCAUCGCUUAACGGUGGGUUUGCGCCGGGUACGGGCGGGCUAGAGUGCAGUAGGGGAGACUGGAAUUCCAUGUGUAGCGGUGAAAUGCGUAGAUAUAUGGAGGAACACCGGUGGCGAAAGCGGCUCUCUGGUCUGUAACUGACGCUGAGGCUCGAAAGCGUGGGGAGCGAACAGG
rnacentral:rRNA from 1 species